GAUGAACGCUGGCGGCGUGCCUAAUACAUGCAAGUCGAGCGAACAGACGAGGAGCUUGCUCCUCUGACGUUAGCGGCGGACGGGCGAGUAACACGUGGAUAACCUACCUAUCAGACUGGGAUAACUUCGGGAAACCGGAGCUAAUACCGGAUAAUAUAUUGAACCGCAUGGUUCAAUAGUGAAAGACGGUUUUGCUGUCACUUAUAGAUGGAUCCGCGCCGCAUUAGCUAGUUGGUAAGGUAACGGCUUACCAAGGCAACGAUGCGUAGCCGACCUGAGAGGGGGAUCGGCCACACUGGAACUGAGACACGGUCCAGACUCCUACGGGAGGCAGCAGUAGGGAAUCUUCCGCAAUGGGCGAAAGCCUGACGGAGCAACGCCGCGUGAGUGAUGAAGGUCUUCGGAUCGUAAAACUCUGUUAUUAGGGAAGAACAAAUGUGUAAGUAACUAUGCACGUCUUGACGGUACCUAAUCAGAAAGCCGCGGCUAACUACGUG
rnacentral:rRNA from 1 species